GGAUGGACUAGGUCGGGCGGUUAGGCCCCGCUCGUAACCCGUGAGGGAGUCUUUAGCGGGGACCGAACACCGGGCACGUCCGGUCAGACCGGGACGGGCCUCGGGAGCCAACGUGGAAGCCUCGUCCGCCGGGGACAGCGGUCCACGGCGCCCGCCCGCAGGGGCGGUCCGUCGUGGUUCGCCGGCGACACCGGGUCAGGCGCGGAAGCGAGCAGCCCACCGUCGGACGCCAGUCGCUCGUCGGGUCGCGGGGUGGAGAAGGCAACCGGGAUACCCCGUUCCGGAACGCCGGGCAACCCCGGUCGUCCACCA
rnacentral:SRP_RNA from 1 species